UAUAUCUGAUCGUCUUCAUCGAAUGAGUGAGAUAUGGUUGAUGAGUAGGAAUAUUGGUUUCUGACAAAUAGUAUCGGUGUAUUUUGAUUUUUUUUAAUUUUUAACGAUUAUCAUUAAAAUAAAAUAUUUAAUUUGAUCAAGUUAGAAAAUUUAAGGCCGUUUAUUGCUCUUGUUGUUUGUCAAAUUUGUCAUUUCUGAUCUAUAGUUAUGCGUCUUAAUCGGAUAACAUGAUCUACCAGUCUUGGUUUUUAGGCCAAUAUUAUAAAUCUCUACAAAUUACCGUUUGGCAUAAAAAAAAUAGUACAAUAAAAUUGCAAUUUAGUGACAACAAGGAUUUUUUAUUGAAUAUUAAAUUAUGUGAAUCCGGAUACUAGG